rnacentral:lncRNA from 1 species
UCGACAGCAUCAUAUCAGUUGGGUCAAAUCUGCAGUAUAUCAUCCAUGAUUGCCAACCUAUUCUUCUUUAAGAAGAAACUUGACUGCAGUAGUGAGAUUAGCAAUUAUGAAACUGGGAAUGCGGAGCGCACAUGCUUCUCCGCCAUUGCUGCUAUGGCCAUACCAGUGAUAUUUAGAUCCUUGAAUUUGAUUUGCCUCGAUACCUUCUCUGAAUUUGGACCCAAUCUUUCUAUUUUGAAUAGCGAUGCUAUCUCCGUUGAACACGUCCAAUAAAUCGCCCUAC